AUUGAACGCUGGCGGCAGGCCUAACACAUGCAAGUCGAGCGAGCGGCGGACGGGUGAGUAAUGUAUGGGGACUGCCCGAUAGAGGGGGAUAACUACUGGAAACGGUGGCUAAUACAGCAUACUGUCGGAUAACCCAUAUGGGAUUAGCUAGUAGGUAAGGUAAUGGCUUACCUAGGCGACGAUCCCUAGCUGGUCUGAGAGGAUGAUCAGACACAUUGGGGCUGAGAAACGGCCCAGACUCCUCCGGAGGGAGCAGUGGGGAAUAUUGCACAAUGGGCGCAAGCUUGAUGCAGCCCUUCCGCGUGUAUGAAGAAGGCCCUAUGUUUGUAAAGUACUUUCAGUCGGGAGGCGUUACCGACAGAAGAAGCACCGGCUAACUCCGUGCCAGCCGCCGCGGUAAUUC
rnacentral:rRNA from 1 species